GCCGGCGACCGGCGCACGGGUGAGUAACGCGUAUGCAACUUGCCUAUCAGAGGGGGAUAACCCGGCGAAAGUCGGACUAAUACCGCAUGAAGCAGGGAUCCCGCAUGGGGAUAUUUGCUAAAGAUUCAUCGCUGAUAGAUAGGCAUGCGUUCCAUUAGGCAGUUGGCGGGGUAACGGCCCACCAAACCGACGAUGGAUAGGGGUUCUGAGAGGAAGGUCCUCCCACAUUGGUACUGAGACACGGACCAAACUCCUACGGGAGCGCAGCAGUGAGGAAUAUUGGUCAAUGGCCGAGAGGCUGAACCAGCCAAGUCGCGUGAGGGAUGAAGGUUCUAUGGAUCGUAAACCUCUUUUAUAAGGGAAUAAAGUGCGGGACGUGUCCCGUUUUGUAUGUACCUUAUGAAUAAGGAUCGGCUAACUCCGUGCCAGCAGCCGCGGUAAUACGGAGGAUCCGAGCGUUAUCCGGAUUUAUUGGGUUUAAAGGGUGCGUAGGCGGCCUUUUAAGUCAGCGGUGAAAGUCUGUGGCUCAACCAUAGAAUUGCCGUUGAAACUGGGGGGCUUGAGUAUGUUUGAGGCAGGCGGAAUGCGUGGUGUAGCGGUGAAAU
rnacentral:rRNA from 1 species